rnacentral:rRNA from 1 species
AACGAACGCUGGCGGCGUGCCUAAUACAUGCAAGUCGAGCGAACAGACGAGGAGCUUGCUCCUCUGACGUUAGCGGCGGACGGGUGAGUAACACGUGGAUAACCUACCUAUAAGACUGGGAUAACUUCGGGAAACCGGAGCUAAUACCGGAUAAUAUAUUGAACCGCAUGGUUCAAUAGUGAGAGACGGUUUUGCUGUCACUUAUAGAUGGAUCCGCGCCGCAUUAGCUAGUUGGUAAGGUAACGGCUUACCAAGGCAGCGAUGCGUAGCCGACCUGAGAGGGUGAUCGGCCACACUGGAACUGAGACACGGUCCAGACUCCUACGGGAGGCAGCAGUAGGGAAUCUUCCGCAAUGGGCGAAAGCCUGACGGAGCAACGCCGCGUGAGUGAUGAAGGUCUUCGGAUCGUAAAACUCUGUUAUUAGGGAAGAACAAAUGUGUAAGUAACUAUGCACGUCUUGACGGUACCUAAUCAGAAAGCCACGGCUAACUACGUGCCAGCCGCCGCCGUAA